GACGAACGCUGGCGGCGUGCUUAACACAUGCAAGUCGAGCGGUAAGGCCCUUUCGGGGUACGACGAGCGGCGAACGGGUGAGUAACACGUGGGUGACCUGCCCUCAGCUCUGGGAUAAGCCUGGGAAACCGGGUCUAAUACCGGAUAUGACUCCAUGACGCAUGUUGUGGGGNGGAAAGCCUUGUGCGGCUGAGGAUGGGCCCGCGGCCUAUCAGCUUGUU
rnacentral:rRNA from 1 species